CACACGACUCUCGGCAACGGAUAUCUCGGCUCUCGCAUCGAUGAAGAACGUAGCGAAAUGCGAUACCUGGUGUGAAUUGCAGAAUCCCGCGAACCAUCGAGUCUUUGAACGCAAGUUGCGCCCGAGGCUAUUCUGCCGAGGGCACGCCUGCCUGGGCGUCACGC
rnacentral:rRNA from 1 species